UUCCGGUUGAUCCCGCCGGAGGCUACCGCUAUUGGAGUUCGAUUAAGCCAUGCGAGUCGCGAGUCUUAGGGACUCGGCGUACCGCUCAGUAACACGUGGGUAACCUGCCCUAUGCUGGGGGAUAACCUCGGGAAACUGAGAAUAAUACCCCAUAGUUCACCACGCCUGGAACGGUGGGUGGAUGAAAGCUCCGGCGGCAUAGGAUGGGCCUGCGGCGUAUCAGGUUGUAGGGGGUGUAAUGUACCCUCUAGCCAUCUACGCGUACGGGUGUUGGGAGACAUCGCCCGGAGAUGGAUUCUGAGACACGAAUCCAGACCCUACGGGGUGCAGCAGGCGCGAAAACUUGGCAAUGCGAGCAAUCGUGACCAGGGAACUCCAAGUGCAUCGGGUAAGACCGAUGCUUUUCUUGACUCUUCAAAGGUCUUGGAAUAAGGGGUGGGUAAGGACGGUGCCAGCCGCCGCGGUAAUACCGGCGCCUCAAGUGGUAGUCGCUUUUAUUGGGCCUAAAACGUCCGUAGCCGGUUUGGUACAUUCGUGGGUAAAUCAAGGCGCUCAACGUCUUGAAUUCUGCGAGCACGGCCAGACUUGGGACCGGGUGAGGUGUGGGGUACGCUCAGGGUAGGGGUAAAAUCCUGUCAUCCUGAGCGGACCACCUGUUGCGAAGGCGCCACACUAGAACGGAUCCGACGGUCAGGGACGAAGCCUAGGGGCACGAACCGGAUUAGAUACCCGGGUAGUCCUAGGUGUAAACGCUGUGGACUUGGUGUUGGGGAUUCUCCGAGGAUUCUCAGUGCCGAAGCGAAGGUGAUAAGUCCACUGCCUGGGGAGUACGGUCGCAAGGCUGAAACUUAAAGGAAUUGGCGGGGGAGCACCGCAACCUGAGGAUUGUGCGGUUUAAUUGGAUUCAACGCCGG
rnacentral:rRNA from 1 species